GACAGAGGGUGCAAACGUUGCUCGGAAUGACUGGGCGUAAAGGGCGCGUAGGCGGUUUGUACAGUCAGAUGUGAAAUUCCCGGGCUCAACCUGGGGGCUGCAUUUGAUACGUGCGGACUUGAGUGGGGAAGAGGGUCGUGGAAUUCCCAGUGUAGAGGUGAAAUUCGUAGAUAUUGGGAAGAACACCGGUGGCGAAGGCGGCGACCUGGUCCUUGACUGACGCUGAGGCGCGAAAGCGUGGGGAGCAAACAGG
rnacentral:rRNA from 1 species